UACGUAGGUGACCAGCGUUGUCCGGAUUUACUGGGCGUAAAGAGCGCGCAGGCGGUCGUUCAAGUCGAGUGUGAAAGCCCCCGGCUCAACUGGGGAGGGUCAUUCGAUACUGAUCGACUUGAAGGCAGGAGAGGGAAGUGGAAUUCCCGGUGUAGUGGUGAAAUGCGUAGAUAUCGGGAGGAACACCAGUGGCGAAGGCGACUUUCUGGCCUGUUCUUGACGCUGAGGCGCGAAAGCUAGGGGAGCAAACGGG
rnacentral:rRNA from 1 species